rnacentral:lncRNA from 1 species
AAAGAAUAAAAGUUGGCAACAACAACACUUGUGUGGACGGUCGCUAUGAAGAAUGGUUGCAACAGGCAAGGACAAAGUUGUCCAUGAAAUGGUUGAGCUCAGCUGUAUAAAGCUCUGGGUUACUCCUGAAAUGGUCUACAUGAGGUGAAGAUAUGAAGUUGCAGGCACGGACCUCGUGUCCUGCUUUCCUCUGCUCUACAAUGAAUGACUCAACUUGCCCCGCGGGUAUAACUCUAUCCGCAGAGCUGUAAAUGUACAACUGUGGACAUCUUGGUUGUGAUGAUGAUAAAGUCUCUAGAACAUUAGCUAGUCUCCUGUAACAGCACGAGUUUGUUUGGUUAGUGUGAAACAUUGCAUUUGCGUGAUGAAAGGCGCCUUUUUGUGUGUGAGAGAGCUUUUACCUGUUUACUUUGGGAAGAUUAAGAAUCACCGCGAAGAACUUCUCCAGAAUCAUAAGCAAAGCUGUUUCUGUUGCAGCGGGUUUAGGCUCGGAGAAGUUUAUACGUGCUCCCAUGUUUGACUCAAAUGACGAGCUUCCGGAUCCUUUAGUGGCUACACUGUUUUUCUUCAAGAAUGCGGCGGAGAAACCUGAUGCCCAUACCUGCGUUUACAAGCCAAAUUAGUAUCCAUAAAGCUCAACUGAACAGUGCAGAGAUGUAUGACAGGAAUAGCACCCAAACAAAACAUCAUUUAACAAAUCAGAACCAUAAGCCUCACAAGUUAAGCCUCAUUUUACGGCUAUAUGACCAUAUAAAACAAGCUAUGAAUUCAAGAACCAUCGCUUACAGUAGGAUCAGCAGCAGCAACAGGAGCUGAGUCCACUAUGCAACCUUUAACCCUUCCCAUCAAUGAAGAAUCUUGCUUCUGAAACUUUUCCAAAAUGGCUCCAUAUGUUAACCAUCCGGUGUUGCUGAAGGUAUGAAAGACGAGAUUCUUAUGUUGCUCUUCAUCCAACCAAUCAGCCAAAUGAUUAACCAGCGACUCGAUGUUCUUCUCUGCUUUUCCUCCAACUUGGUAGCUCAUAAUCUCAUUCAUGGGGAGAGUAAACGUGAUCACAUGGUAACCCCUUGAAGUAUACCAUUCUGCAUAUUUCUUCAUAUGCUUCUGCUUCGAUCCAAGCCAUCCCAGCAAAACCACGACGGUCCUAUUCUUCUCCAACGCACAUCUCGAGGAGCCAGAGAGAUCAACUGCACCAGUCUCGGGCAAAUGCCAUUUGUACGAAACAUCAGGAACAACAAGAGAGGCCCCAGUUGUGAAUGCUGCUGGUUUUGAUGCCUUAGCCAACUCCGCAGACUGAUAAGCGCUACGAAGAGCGGGCAACGAAGUAACAGAAGGAGCGAGAUUACAGCUGGGGUUAGGAGCUAGGUGAUUAACGUUUGGUACAAUGAGACGAAUCCUGGACAUGAAAGAUAAAUCAGCGAGCUUGGAGGCUGAGAUAUGAGAAACCCAUAAUGACUUUUCGUCCUGAACCGAACCAGACACUGAAGCAGCAAUAGGCUCUGGUUCAGAACCUCGAACAAGUGAUCUAAGAGAGGAGAACUUGUCAGAGACAUCUGCAGAGACAGAAGCGGCGAUAACAGCUGCAGCAGCAACAAGUGGCCGUUGGAUACUCCCAGACAAAUAACUCAUGAUGGCCACAAUCUAAAUCCAAAACUAGCAUAAAAGUCUCAAUGCAAUGGAAAGGACUCCUGUUAUAUAAGAAGAGAAAUAGUAGUGUAAAUAUAAGUAUACACACACACAAAACACAUGUUGAAAACGCGUGUAAGACUACAAGAUUGUUGGGACAUGCUGUAAAUUACCUGGAAGCAGAGCUUCCUUUUGAUUCUUCAAACGAACUCGGGCUGUCAAGUAAUGACAGCCCGACCACAAUGUAGUAAUUGCUUGGUCAGAGUCAAAUCUCUCUUUAUGCAUUAUUUGAGAGCAAUAGGUGCGUACGACUCAUUUCAGCAGCAGACAGAACGAGGAAAGGGUCGUGGUCAUAAGAGUCGACGCUAACACAUCUACCUAAUAUUCCUAAUGCUGUGAUAUUUGUAUCACCACUGCUUCGCUAAUCUUUUAUUUGCUUCAGUAUGCUAUAUUUGCUUGGUAUGUAUAAUUUGAUUCUCUAUGUUUGAUUUGCUUCGGCACAAUAUUUUCUUUGCUUGGUAUGUUAUAUUUGCACAGUAUGCUAUAUUUGCUUGGUAUGUUUUGAUUCACUAAUGUUGAUGCAGCAAUCCAAUAAGAUACAUAUAAAAAAAUUAUCUAUAAAACUUUACAUCCUAGCACAAGAAACAUUUGUUAUAUACUUAUAUCAUACGAAGCUACAUUGACAUCACACUGAGUGGGAGUGUCAUACAAACCCAUUGAGGCAUCUCCUGAACAAUACAUAACUAUGAUCAAUUUAUAGCUAAAUUAUAAUACUGAGUGGAACCAUAUGUUAACUUAUAGCUUAUAAUCAAAAAUUAACUAUCAAGAGCAAUUAUCAAUAAACAACUGAUCUAUCUCAGCUAUCCCCCAACAAUCAAUUACUUGCCAAGCACACAAUGACAACAGACACAAUCACUUCAAUUACAACACAAGAAAAAAAUAUAAACGCACCAUGAACGACCCAUAAUAUUUCAAGAUUUAUAACUAUAUCGUAUCUCACCGAGUAAUGUAUUCUACUUCGGAUAUAAUAAGUGCAACCAUAAAUAUUUUCGCAUUUUUUCUACCCAAAAAUAGUUUCUCAUCUAUGUGAAACGUAUAAAAAAUUGGAACAUCCAUUCUAAACUUGAUUACCCCUAGCAUAAAAUAGUAAUUAUAUAUUUUAAAUCAAACACACAAUUGAAAUAGCCCAUUUAUUUGACCAACCGAAUUCGAAUAAUUUACAAUCAAAUGAGAAGGACCUGCACGGAGUUUUUUUCCAGCUAAGCCAGGUAUGUACAUUUUUAUAUAAAUAACAUAACUAUUGUAUGAGUGCGUUACGUAUUCAGACACUUUUUUCUUUUUUUUGUCAUGUUAAGGCACUUCCUGCUAGAGGCAUACUUUCUUUCCUUUUUCUCCAUGUGUUUGUACAUAAUUACCUUACCGGUUAAGAGAAAGAAGAAGCUGGUUAGAUUUUUUAAUUUUAAAAUGAUAUCAAGUUUGUGGGGACCAAUUUUAACUAUAGUAGUUGCGUCACUUUUUUUUAUUCGUACUUUAUAUCUCCUCAAACCAAACCAAAUGAAAAGACAUGUUUCUUUCUUUUUUUUAAUUAUUAUUGUUUGUUUUACCUAGUUUUAGUUUGUUUUGUUUAUUUUAAAUUUAAGGAUAUAUUUGACAAAUUUGUUUGAUAUAUUAAAUUAUGUUUUUUUAUUUUCUAUAAUUUGAUAUCCAUUUUGAUAUGUAUACAAAUGAAAAAAGUGGACAAAAAAGUUGUGGAUAGAGAAACAUUGUAAUUGUGUACAUCCAACUAUUGUGGAUGGAUAUGAUCAUAUGAUAUGUUUUCUUUUUUUAAUAUUGCUUUAUCAAUCUUUUCUAUUUCUUUAUGUGAUUAUUUUAACAUAUUAAAGUAUAUAACUAAAUAAAUUUUUGAUAUCAUAAAUUUUAUCUUUUUGUUCUUUACAUUUUUAGAUCCAUUUUAGUAUAUUUUUGCAAUCUAAAUAUGAAAAAAUCAUAUCAACAAAAAAUAAUCGUGUAUAUAGAAAAAAUGUGGACAUGGACACAUCUAAUGUUUUCAAUUGUAUUUUAAUGUCUGUGUUAGUGGAUGUGAUCUUUUUUAAAAAAGAAAUGAUUGGUUAUUUAUUUUAUUAUUGUUUAUACUACCUAAUGUUUUCAAUUGAUUUUAUUUCAAAUUUUUAAGAGUUAUAAAAUAAAUAUACUAUUACAAUAAUUUUUAUAUAUAAUUUUCUGUUUUUGACAUCAUUUUAUAUAUAUCAUAUAUGUAUAUAUAUCAACGUUUACAAAAAAAAUAUGUCGACAUGGACAUGAACUAAAUAUGUGGAUGUGGACGACAUAUGUAGAUAAAAAUUUGUAGACAAAAGUGUUUUCAUUACUUGAAAGAGAAACCAAAGGUCUGGAGACAAUGACUCAAACCAAAAUGUGAGGUGCGGAUGUGGAUGUGUUUAUCUCAUCUAAAUUCAAGAAAAUGUUUUGCACAUUUUAAAAGUAUUGGGUGAAAGCGUAAAUAACCAAAACGUGAGGGACCACAAUUAAAAAAACUGAAAAUUCACCAUUGUUGCUCUCACUCUCUAGCAUGACCCAAAUCACCAACUAGCAGCAGAUCAAACUCGUUGACAUCAUCAGCUACAUGAACUUCUCCGAUUCCAGCCCUACUCUGCGUUUGUCGUCGCACAGGUUCAGUCGUCCUCCGCUGAAGUAGAGAGGUGCCGUCGUCACACAUUCAAACACAACUUUCUUGUCUUAUUCUUCCCCUUGCUCCUCCACAUCUCCUUUUCACUGACACAGAACAAGCAAUUAUGAAAUAGUUUUCAUACCAAAACUUUGUGUCUUAUGGUACCAAAAAGAUGUCGUCAUCAACUCAUCUUCUACAAAUCAAAAUCAAAGGAAAACAUUGAGGAUUAAAGACAAACCUGGUGCUAACUUGACGUUUCUAUGUCGUAGUGAGCGCAAGGGAUCGAGCUCAGAGAUAGAUUGGGAGGUAGAGUUGGUUUGGUCAAAGAAACAAGCUCUUAAAAAUUACCGAGAGAAAGACCUAUGAAUUUCUGAGGUUUGUGAUAUUAUUAUUGAGAAAGUAAAAAAAACAGAGAGAAAAACAAAAUUUUCCAGAAAAAUGUUGAGUUAGGAAGAAGGAGAGAGUUUGAAAUUAGAAUUAGGGGAUUUGGAAAAGUAAAAGUAGAUUUGAGAUUUGAAAUCAGAAUUGGAGAGAGAUAUGGAAUUAGGGUUGAGAAUUUGUGAAAUAGAAAGUGGAUCUGCGUUUUGAAGGAGAGAAGAGAGAGGAGAGAGGAGAGAGUAGAGAGUAGAGAGAGAUGAGAGAGUAGAGAUGAAAGAAUAUAAUCAUGGUUAGUUGUCUCUGGUUAGGUUAGUCUGGUCUGGUCAAAAUUGGGGGUAUGAAAGACAUUCGACAGGCAUAAUGUGUCUAGCCAGUGAAAAGUGUCUAAAGGUGUAGACAUAAGACGAAAAGUGUUUAUAGAGUAAAAAAAUCUUAUUGUAUUUGCUUAAAUUUAUGCUUACUAAUUUAUUCUUAACCAAUUUCAGGUCAUUUCUUUCUGAUGAACCUCAGCACAACUUCUGAUCUACAAAAAACUUAAUCUGUUUCUUACAUUAUUUAUUAUGUUUACUUAGCUACUCUUUUAGCUUUAAAACAAUUGCGUAAACUCGAUAUUCACCAAUUUUCAAACAUUUUGGAAAAAAAAUUCUUCCAUUCCAACCAAAAAAACAUCGAAACAUAUAAUAAAAAAUUGACUAUAAACCCACUUUUCCGGGCGGAGACAGGACCUAGUAAACUGUAAUAAUUCAAUCUAUACACCAAUCCAAACCAAAAGAAUCAUCAAGUAGUCCUUUUUUUUCUUCUGUAUAAAAAUGACCCAAAGAAUAAAAGUUGGCAACAACAACACUUGUGUGGACGGUCGCUAUGAAGAAUGGUUGCAACAGGCAAGGACAAAGUUGUCCAUGAAAUGGUUGAGCUCAGCUGUAUAAAGCUGUGGGUUACUCCUGAAAUGGUCUACAUGAGGUGAAGAUAUGAAGUUGCAGGCACGGACCUCGUGUCCUGCUUUCCUCUGUUCUACAAUGAAUGACUCAACUUGCCCCGCGGGUAUAACUCUAUCCGCAGAGCUGUAAAUGUACAACUGUGGACAUCUUGGUUGUGAUGAUGAUAAAGUCUCUAGAACAUUAGCUAGUCUCCUGUAACAGCACGAGUUUGUUUGGUUAGUGUGAAACAUUGCAUUUGCGUGAUGAAAGGCGCCUUUUUGU